rnacentral:rRNA from 1 species
UACAGAGGUGGCAAGCGUUGUUCGGAUUUAUUGGGCGUAAAGGGUCCGUAGGCGGUUUGGAAAGUCAGAUGUGAAAUCCCACAGCUCAACUGUGGAACUGCAUUUGAAACUUCCAGACUAGAGUAUGAGAGGGGUUAAGGGAAUUCCCGGUGUAAGGGUGAAAUCUGCAGAGAUCGGGAGGAACACCAGUCGCGAAGGCGACUUAACUGGCUCAGUUACUGGACGCCUCAGG